rnacentral:tRNA from 1 species
GGGGUCGUAGCUCAGUUGGGAGAGCGCUUGAAUGGCAUUCAAGAGGCCAGGGGUUCGACUCCCCUCGACUCCACCA